ensembl:lncRNA novel transcript
UCCAAACCACAGAGCCACCAUCUCUGUCUUUCUCUAUCUGGCUCUCACCUGUGAUUGAAGAGAGGGAAGGAUGACAGAGUGCCCACUGGGAAUGCCUUUCCACCCAGUUCUCAACAGGAGUCACGGCCCAGGUCAGCUCUGGGCCAGCAUCCCCUGAGCACCUGCUGUCUGCUAGCCUGUGUGAGCUGCUUUACAGAAGGACACACCAAUGGGAAGCAGCAGCCCUGCCUUCAGGAAGGCCCAGCCUGGGACAGAACUGUGCCUGGCACUUGGACAGAGAGGCCCGGGAGGCAUCAGAUGCCGGCCCAGCCCGAGGCUGCACCUCACAAUAAGCCCCCACCUGCAAAGAAUGUCUGUAAAUCCUGGGGCUCUGCACAGAGCAGCCGGAUUGCAGGGAACGGCAGCAAAUCCCAGGAUAAAAGCAGAAGCCAUCCUGUUGACAAUUCAUUCGUGUUUCUCCCCCAAAUCCAUCCACAACAGAACUGUUAAGCUCAUGUUUCCUCUCCUGUUGCAAACAAUUGUAAAAAUGAUUGGUAUCUGC